CGCGGGGGCAACCCUGGCGACGAGCGGCGGACGGGUGAGUAACGCUUGGGAAUCUGCCUGUUAGUGGGGGACAACCCGGGGAAACUCGGGCUAAUACCGCAUACGCACUACGGUGGAAAGCCGGGGACCGCAAGGCCUGGCGCUAACAGAUGAGCCCAAGUCGGAUUAGCUAGUUGGUAGGGUAACGGCCUACCAAGGCGACGAUCCGUAACUGGUCUGAGAGGACGACCAGUCACACCGGAACUGAGACACGGUCCGGACUCCUACGGGAGGCGGCAGUGGGGAAUAUUGGACAAUGGGCGAAAGCCUGAUCCAGCGACGCCGCGUGGGUGAAGAAGGCCUGCGGGUUGUAAAGCCCUUUCAGUGGGGAAGAAAAGCCUCGACCUAACACGUCGGGGUCUUGACGUAACCCAUAGAAGAAGCACCGGCUAACUCUGUGCCAGCAGCCGCGGUAAUACAGAGGGUGCGAGCGUUAAUCGGAAUUACUGGGCGUAAAGCGCGCGUAGGCGGCAUUGCAAGUCGGGUGUGAAAUCCCCGGGCUCAACCUGGGAACUGCAUCCGAGACUGCAUAGCUAGAGUAUGGGAGAGGGAAGUGGAAUUUCCGGUGUAGCGGUGAAAUGCGUAGAUAUCGGAAGGAACAUCAGUGGCGAAAGCGACUUCCUGGACCAAUACUGACGCUCAUGUGCGAAAGCGUGGGGAGCAAACAGGAUUAGAUACCCUGGUAGUCCACGCCAUAAACGAUGAGAACUAGAUGUCGGGAGGGUCUGCCUCUCGGUGUCGUAGCUAACGC
rnacentral:rRNA from 1 species